rnacentral:rRNA from 1 species
AUUGAACGCUGGCGGCAGGCCUAACACAUGCAAGUCGAGCGGGGUUUUCGGACCUAGCGGCGGACGGGUGAGUAAUGCGUAGGAAGCUGCCCGAUAGAGGGGGAUACCAGUUGGAAACGACUGUUAAUACCGCAUAAUGUCUACGGACCAAAGUGUGGGACCUUCGGGCCACAUGCUAUCGGAUGCGCCUACGUGGGAUUAGCUAGUUGGUGAGGUAAUGGCUCACCAAGGCGACGAUCUCUAGCUGGUUUGAGAGGAUGAUCAGCCACACUGGAACUGAGACACGGUCCAGACUCCCACGGGAGGCAGCAGUGGGGAAUAUUGGACAAUGGGCGCAAGCCUGAUCCAGCCAUGCCGCGUGUGUGAAGAAGGCCUUCGGGUUGUAAAGCACUUUCAGCGAGGAGGAAGGGUGGUGUGUUAAUAGCACAUUAUUUUGACGUUACUCGCAGAAGAAGCACCGGCUAACUCUGUGCCAGCCGCCGCAGUAAAAC